rnacentral:rRNA from 1 species
UACGUAGGGUGCAAGCGUUAUCCGGAAUCACUGGGCGUAAAGCGUGCGUAGGCGGAAGCUUAAGUGUGAUGUUAAAUCGUGGGGCUCAACCCCGUCGAUGCAUCGCAUACUGGGCUUCUAGAGGACGGCAGAGGCAAGUGGAACUCGUAGUGUAGCAGUGAAAUGCGUAGAUAUUACGAAGAACACCAAAUGGCGAAGGCAGCUUGCUGGGCCGCCCCUGACGCUGAGGCACGAAAGCGUGGGGAGCGAACAGGG